rnacentral:rRNA from 1 species
UACGUAGGGUCCGAGCGUUUGUCCGGAAUUGCUGGGCGUAAAGAGCUCGUAGGUGGUUUGUCGCGUUGUUCGUGAAAACUCACAGCUUAACUGUGGGCGUGCGGGCGAUACGGGCAGACUGGAGUACUGCAGGGGAGACUGGAAUUCCUGGUGUAGCGGUGGAAUGCGCAGAUAUCAGGAGGAACACCGGUGGCGAAGGCGGGUCUCUGGGCCUGACCUGACGCUGAGGAGCGAAAGCGUGGGGGAGCGAACAGG